GUCCACGCCGUAAACGAUGGGCACUAGGCGUCGGGGGAGCGACCCUCCCGGUGCCGUCGCUAACGCAGUAAGUGCCCCGCCUGGGGAGUACGGCCGCAAGGCUGAAACUCAAAGGAAUUGACGGGGCCCGCACAAGCGGUGGAGCAUGUGGUUUAAUUCGAAGCAACGCGAAGAACCUUACCUGGGCUAUAAUGCGAGUGACGGAUCGGGAAACCGGUCUUUUCUCGGAACACAAAGCAAGGUGCUGCAUGGCUGUCGU
rnacentral:rRNA from 1 species